UUGGAGGGCAAGUCUGGUGCCAGCAGCCGCGGUAAUUCCAGCUCCAAUAGCGUAUAUUAAAGUUGUUGCAGUUAAAAAGCUCGUAGUUGAAUUUCGGGGUUCUUCCGUUGGUCAGGCUAACAAGUCUGUACUAGCGUGUAGAAUCUCUACCUUCUGGGGAACCAUCAUGUUAUUAAUUUAGCGUGGUGGGAAACCAGGACCUUUACCUUGAAAAAAUUAGAGUGUUCAAAGCAGGCUUACGUCUGAAUACAUUAGCAUGGAAUAAUAAAAUAGGACGGUGGUCCUGUUUUGUUGGUUUCUGAAUCACCGUAAUGAUUAAUAGGGAUAGUUGGGGGCAUUAGUAUUCAAUUGUCAGAGGUGAAAUUCUUGGAUUUAUUGAAGACUAACUUCUGCGAAAGCAUUUGCCAAGGAUGUUUUCAUUAAUCAAGAACGAAAGUUAGGGGAUCGAAGACGAUCAGAUACCGUCGUAGUCUAACCAUAAACUAUCCAGACUAGG
rnacentral:rRNA from 1 species